rnacentral:rRNA from 1 species
UACGGAGGGGGCUAGCGUUGUUCGGAAUUACUGGGCGCAAAGCGCGCGUAGGCGGUUAUUCAAGUUGAGGGUGAAAUCCCGGGGCUUAACCCCGGAACUGCCUCCAAAACUGAAUGACUAGAGGCCGGAAGAGGUAAGGGGAAUUCCUAGUGUAGAGGUGAAAUUCGUAGAUAUUAGGAAGAACACCAGUGGCGAAGGCGCCUUACUGGUCCGGAUCUGACGCUGAGGCGCGAAAGUGUGGGGAGCAAACAGG